ACAAAUUUUGGGCCAAAUUGCAUCAGCCAUUAACUUCAAGCUUCCAUCCCAUCCACCCUAAUAUAAUCCCUACCCAACCAUUUGACGACCCAAAUUAUUUUUCUUCCUCAAAGCUGCCAGAAGGCAACGUUUGUAGAAUUAGAGAAUGACAAGACGCAACAGCGUUUCUAAUAUUCCCAACGGAGAAAAUGGAAAGCAACAUGCGCAUGAGUAGCGUAUGCUCCUUGGUCUCCCUCACACGAGAGUGAAUCAACGAAAAAGUAGCGAGGAGCAGGUUAGUACGAUGCGAACUUUUCUUUUCUUCCCAAGCAUCCCUUUCCACGGCGUACAAUUUUCAGCCGCGCAGAGCACGCAUAUCUCACGCCUUAGGAUGGAGACACUUAACUCUCAAGGAAAAAAAAUCGAUCAGGAUCGUCGAUUCUCCUUUCUAUUUUCGGAGUGAAGUUGAAUUUUGAAAAAAAGGUUUUUACCCUAAAUGGUGAAAGUUUUAGGGGUUUUGAAUUUCGAUAUUUUAGAACUCUAUUUUUUCCCCCUAUAUAUAAUAUCUUUCGAUCACUGCUAAAGGAGGUGGUUUUCCUGUUGGGAAAAUUGUUAAAAAAAAAGACAGGGAGCAUGGGAUUUCUUUUUUUGGGGGUUUGAGAUUUUCGUUAGAAAUUCAAACUUAGGCAAAAAGUGAGAAAGCAGGGGAUUUUCUGUUUUGUUACACAAAGAGGUUUGUGAGGAAUAUUGAAUAUAUAUAUAUAUAUAUAUAUAUAUAUAUAUAUAUAUAUAGUAACAAAAUUAGGAUAUAAAAAUCUUGUUACCGGCGUUCCUCCCGAUUUUAUUUCGAGAUUCAAAAAUUCCUUUCGGUCUCUUUGCUUCUGUUCGUGCUUGGUUUGUGCUAGAGAAGUCAUUUUCUGCUCGUUCCCGUCUCCGAUUCUCUGUCCGGAAGGAGGUAAAAGUUUUUCCUCACUUUUGUUCGGUUUCCGCUAGCCGUUUUAAGUUCUCUCUAUUUACAUGUUCCUAAGUUAUAUUUUUUAGCCUUUGUUGAAUAGUUGAUUGUUUACUUAAAUUCCUUGUUCUUGCUGAAAUCCAUGUUACUGUUUCAUCAAAGUAUGGCUGAAAAGUUUUAAUUCUUUGGUUUGUUUUUGCCAACUAUUUAGUAUAUUUGUUAUCUCCAUUGCCUUAAGUGUUUAAUUUUUUUUUCUUGUUAGUUUAUCUCCUUGUGAAUUAUCGAAUUGUGUCGUCUAUCGCCAUUUGCCUCUUAUUUUCAUGUUCGAGUAUGACAGGCCCGAUAUAGUUAUUUCAGAGGUGUGACAAUGGUUUUUAUAAAGUAUGUUAAGGUUCCAUUUUAAUUCUUAAUAUCUUGUACAAUACUUCUUCCUCAAAAUAAAAUUUAGCAUUUGUUAUCAAUGUAGUUGUAUUAAUUUUACCUCGUGCAACAUGGAUUUCUUUUUUUAGCAUUUUUUUGUUAAUUAUAUCAUCUUCUAAGUUAUAUAUUUUGGCCCUUUCUUCAAAAAAUAAAAAUAAAAAUUUAUAUGUAUAAUUUCUUUUUUUCAAAAAAAAAUAUGUUUGUAUCAACUUCAUUCAAAUUAUGUUUAUCUCAACUUUAAAAUGGUUUCAUCGCUGCAUUCCUUAUCUUUACGUGGAAUUUGGUUCCUCCCGAUGACUAAUAUUGUUCGUUGUGUUGGAGUUCUAUUAUCUUGCCUCUUGGUUAUUCUUUCGCGGCUUUUGUUAUGUCUUAAUUGUGGUCCAUGUGUAGAACAAAGAAAAAAAUCAGUUCAUGUUUAGCUACUUUUGCAUUAAUGCAAGCCAAAAUAUGGUGUCCUAUACUUUUUCUUUCUUAGAUCGUGUUGCUGAUUUUAUUUUAUUUACUUUUUUUUUUCGCUACACCUUUUAUCUAAAAAAUAAAAUUAGCUUCAGGUUGUUUACCGACAGUAUAUAGUCAACUAUUUAACAAUAGGGACUAAAAUGGCUGGCUAUUGUUUCCAUGGGUAUUCUUGUUAGUAUUUCUUUCCUUGAAAUUUGUUCAUUAUUGUUUACUUUAUAGGUGUAAUUAUUUAAUUCAUCUUUGAUGAAUUUUAGCAUAGUAAGAUGCUUAAUGUUGACAUUAAUAAAGGUUCAUCUUAGCACAGUAAUUCACUGAAGAGAAAGAUGAAAGGUUAUUUACGUGAUGAUGAACUAAAUAUGGUUGCCAAUAAUUCAUGUUCUAGUUGUUAUAUUUAUCUCUUUAUUUUUAUUUUUUAUUUUUAUUUUUAAAAUUUUAAGUAUGAUAUCAAUUUGUUUAAUUACUAUGGCUUAAAACUUAUAAAAUUUUUGUUUUGUUUGGUCUUAUUAUGGAAUCUAAAUUGAGGUGCAGUUUUUCAUAAGUCCGAUUUACUUAGCGUUUUCUAGUAUUAAAUUAUGAUCCUUUAUUAAUCUAUUACUUUUCAUUUGCAUGUUUAAACCGGUUUUAUGGAUUCCAGCCGCGUAUUUUCCUUGGCUGGGGAGUCCCAACCCUUCUUUUCCUCUCGACUCAACUAUAAAAUCGUGUAAUAAGUUUCGAAGUUGAAGAAUUCAAAAAGUCCAAGGAGUUGAUGGUUUUGGGCCUAGACUCCAAAAAAAUUGUUUCAAAUUUUGUAUUUUUGUUAUUUUUGGGCCUAAGCCCACUUCUUAUUUUCUAUUAUUAUUUUGCUAGAAGUUUAGGACAUGUAAAAGUUAAAUGGGCCUGACGCCAAAAACGAAGCAAGUGCAAAAAAAGGUCCAUGCGGACAGAAACCGGAAAUGAAUGUUUAUGAACAAGGAAAGGACAUAACGAUGUGGAAAGAAGGGAAAAAUUUAGAAAAGCUGAAUAAAAGUGAGGUUGGAUCUCACAAAAGCCACAAGACAAAUAGCCAAUUAACUCUACAACCUGCUAAAAGUUCCAGCGAAAUAACUCAUUUACCAAGACAACUUGUCAAGCAAAGUACCAUUCAAUAAUUUACCGAAGGGAUCGUAACAAUGAUCAAGUUACAAAAAUCUUUCUAAACAGUUUGAUAUAGGAGCAAAGCCUAAUGGAGAGAAGAAGUGCAACUCGGUGGAUCGCCGAGUGGAUCUGCGGUCCUGACUAACUUCAUCGUGUUGUAUCCAUGUUUAUCAUUUAGUAACAUAUAUAUUUACUUUUUUAAAGGAUAAAGGAAGUUUCCGGAGUUUGUAUUCCUACGUUUUUAGUGUUUUUCAUAUUUUUACAUGGUUUAGAACUUUUGGGGAAGAUUUGGAUCUCGGGUUCCAGGUUUUAGGAUUCUAGCUUUAAUUUUUGCAUUGGGUUUUUAGAUAUUGAUAUAAAUUUGUACGGAUAAUCUAUUUAGUAAAGAUUUUUUACUUUUCAUUA